GAAAGACCCCGUGAACCUUUACUAUAGCUUGACACUGAACAUUGAGCCUUGAUGUGUAGGAUAGGUGGGAGGCUUUGAAGUGUGGACGCCAGUCUGCAUGGAGCCGACCUUGAAAUACCACCCUUUAAUGUUUGAUGUUCUAACGUGGACCCGUAAUCCGGGUUGCGGACAGUGUCUGGUGGGUAGUUUGACUGGGGCGGUCUCCUCCUAAAGAGUAACGGAGGAGCACGAAGGUUGGCUAAUCCUGGUCGGACAUCAGGAGGUUAGUGCAAUGGCAUAAGCCAGCUUGACUGCGAGCGUGACGGCGCGAGCAGGUGCGAAAGCAGGUCAUAGUGAUCCGGUGGUUCUGAAUGGAAGGGCCAUCGCUCAACGGAUAAAAGGUACUCCGGGGAUAACAGGCUGAUACCGCCCAAGAGUUCAUAUCGACGGCGGUGUUUGGCACCUCGAUGUCGGCUCAUCACAUCCUGGGGCUGAAGUAGGUCCCAAGGGUAUGGCUGUUCGCCAUUUAAAGUGGUACGCGAGCUGGGUUUAGAACGUCGUGAGACAGUUCGGUCCCUAUCUGCCGUGGGCGCUGGAGAACUGAGGGGGGCUGCUCCUAGUACGAGAGGACCGGAGUGGACGCAUCACUGGUGUUCGGGUUGUCAUGCCAAUGGCACUGCCCGGUAGCUAAAUGCGGAAGAGAUAAGUGCUGAAAGCAUCUAAGCACGAAACUUGCCCCGA
rnacentral:rRNA from 3 species